GAGGAGGAGGCGGAGCCGGGCUGCGAAGGAGCGUUGGAGGCUGCGGCUCUGCCUGUCUCGCGCGGGGCCGUUGGAGCCUCUCCCGGGGCCGGAGAAGGAUAUUGGGGUUGAACUUCCUGGUUCAGACGCCGCUGCCUGCAUUGUGAUCUGGGAGACCAGACUGAGCAGCUGCUGCUCCCCCAGUGGGGUCUGGGCUUGGAAGUGACUUGGAGUGAAGCUUCCUCUGUGCCCAGGCAAGAAUGUGGUGAUAUCUAUCAGUAUGGGUAAGAGAUCAAGAGACAUUUUUAGAAAGUACUCAAGUGGGAGUAAGAAAAGAGCCAUAUACAAGGCAAAAGCAGUUGAAAGACAGAAACAAAAGGGUGCUUUUAGCAAGUAUUUUAGCAGACCUGAUUCUACUGUUGAACUGGAAGAGCUCAGUGAAUAUGCAGAUAUGGUUGAAAAUUAUCCAGUAGAACAUACAACACAGACAGAGAAUGACAGCAAUGAUGAAGAAUUUGAAAAGCCAGAUCAGUCUGAAGAAGACACUCAAGACAGUCACGGUGAAGAGAAGACUACAAAAAGGGUUGUAACUGAUGCUGAAGGUACUGAGGGUCAAGAAUGCUUUUCUGAUAAUAAAGAUGCAAGUGGUUUAGAUCCAGAGCAGAAAGGCAACUUCAACUCUGCUGACCAAAUAGAAAUAUCUGAAGAUCUUGGCCAGAAUACAUUAGCCAGCGUAUCGAGUAUUUAGUAAAACAAGGGCCGCCUAAAAUUAUUGUAGAAUAUUUCCCUAAAAAUAAGAUUGGGAAACACUUUGCAAAGUUUCACUGCAAAAGGAAACUUUCAAAUGGUGAAAUUGUAUCUCGUCCAUGGGUGAUAUACUCAGUGUGAGCCGACAAGAUCUUUUGUUAUUACUGUAUGAUUUUUUUGCAAUACUGUGACAAGUUCAUUAGCAUCUAAUGGUUUUAAUGACUGGUCUAAUAUUCAUAUGAGAUUGGCUGAGCGUGAAAACUCAAAAGGACAUUUACAAGCUGUGCUUAGUUGCUGCGACCUUCAGCAAAGGUUAUCUGCUGAAAAAAACAUUGACACAAUACAACCAAAACUUAUUGACCAAGAAGCAAAAUGCUGGCAUCAAGUUUUUGAGAGACUUGUCGCUGUCGUUCAGUUGCUAGCAGAACGAAACUUAUCAUUUCGUGCCAGCUGGGAACAUCAUACAAUGGAAAUUUUCUUGGAGUUAUUGAAUUACUGGGAAAGUUUGACCCAGUGAUGCAGGAACAUUUAUGAAGAAUCAAGAACAAAGAAAUACGUGACCAUUAUUUAGGAAAAAACAUUCUAAACGAACUUAUUAAUAUUGUAGGGAAUGCUGUUAAACAUGAAAUAAUAGCUCGAAUUAAGGCUGCUAAGUAUUUUGCUAUUAUACCCUACUGCACUUCUGACAUUAGUCACCAGGAACAAAUGCCACUGAUAAUUAGGUAUGUGGCUGAUGGUGUAUCACCAAAUAU